AGGGUUUGAUCAUGGCUCAGAACGAACGCUGGCGGCGCGCCUAAUACAUGCAAGUCGAACGAGAAGGCGUAGCAAUACGCUUGUAAAGUGGCGAACGGGUGAGGAAUACAUGGGUAACCUACCCUCGAGUGGGGGAUAACCAGCCGAAAGGUUGGCUAAUACCGCGUACGCUUCCGGGACUGCGGUUUCGGAAGGAAAGCGAUACCGUGGGUAUCGCGCUCCUGGAUGGGCUCAUGCCCUAUCAGCUUGUUGGUGAGGUAACGGCUCACCAAGGCAUCGACGGGUAGCUGAUCUGAGAGGAUGAUCAGCCACACUGGCACUGCGACACGGGCCAGAUUCCUACGGGAGGCAGCAGUAAGGAAUAUUGCGCAAUGGGCGAAAGCCUGACGCAGCGACGCCGCGUGGGGGAUGAAGGUCUUCGGAUUGUAAACCCCUUUCGGGAGGGAAGAUGGGAUGGGGUAACCCAUUCGGACGGUACCUCCAGAAGCAGCCACGGCUAACUUCGUGCCAGCAGCCGCGGUAAUACGAAGGUGGCAAGCGUUGUUCGGAUUUACUGGGCGUACAGGGAGCGUAGGCGGUUGGGUAAGCCCUCCGUGAAAUCUCCAGGCUUAACCUGGAAAGUGCAGAGGGGACUGCUCAGCUAGAGGAUGGGAGAGGAGCGCGGAAUUCCCGGUGUAGCGGUGAAAUGCGUAGAGAUCGGGAGGAAGGCCGGUGGCGAAGGCGGCGCUCUGGAACAUUUCUGACGCUGAGGCUCGAAAGCGUGGGGAGCAAACAGGAUUAGAUACCCUGGUAGUCCACGCCUUAAACGAUGGAUACUAAGUGUCGGCGGGUUACCGCCGGUGCCGCAGCUAACGCAGUAAGUAUCCCGCCUGGGAAGUACGGCCG
rnacentral:rRNA from 1 species